rnacentral:rRNA from 1 species
UACAGAGGGUGCGAGCGUUAAUCGGAAUUACUGGGCGUAAAGCGUGCGUAGACGGUAGCGUAAGUCAGAUGUGAAAGCCCCGGGCUCAACCUGGGAAUUGCAUUUGAGACUGCUCUGCUCGGGGUGCGGAAGAGGGAAGCGGAAUUUCCGGUGUAGCGGUGAAAUGCGUAGAUAUCGGAAGGAACACCAGUGGCGAAAGCGGCUUCCUGGACAAAGACUGACGCUCAGGUGCGAAAGCGUGGGGAGCAAACAGG